UACGUAGGGGGCCGAGCGUUGUCCGGAGUUAUUGGGCGUAAAGCGCGCGCAGGCGGCCUCGCGCGCCCGACGUGAAAGCCCCCCGGGCUUAACCGGGGAGGGUCGUUGGGGGACGGCGGGGCUUUGAGGGCGGGAGAGGGUGGUGGAAUUCCCGGUGUAGUGGUGAAAUGCGUAGAGAUCGGGAGGAACACCCGUGGCGAAGGCGGCCACCUGGGGCCGACCCUGACGCUGAGGCGCGAAGGCGUGGGGAGCGAACGGG
rnacentral:rRNA from 1 species